ACCACAUAAACCCCUUUAUUACCACUAGACAAUUCUAUAUAACUAUAGAAAUUAUUUUGUUAAAACUAGUAACAAGAAAUAAACCUUCUCUUUAAUAUAAGUAUAUGCCAGAAAGGAUAAACCACUGGCCAUUAACAUACUUGAAAAUUAAGCAGCAACACCACAAGAGAACCCUGCCUAUAUGUAUGUUAAUUUUACACUAAAACAUUUCAAGAAAGAUUAAAAGAAAAAGAAGGAACUCGGCAAACAUAAAUCUCGCCUGUUUACCAAAAACAUCGCCUCUUGAAACCUAUAUAAGAGGUCACGCCUGCCCGGUGACUCAUGUUUAACGGCCGCGGUAUCCUAACCGUGCGAAGGUAGCGUAAUCACUUGUUCUUUAAAUAAGGACUAGUAUGAAUGGCCACACGAAGAUUUUACUGUCUCCUUUUUCUAAUCAGUGAAACUAAUCUCCCCGUGAAGAAGCGGGGAUAAAAAUAUAAGACGAGAAGACCCUAUGGAGCUUUAAACACAGCAGCACUUGUUAACCU
rnacentral:rRNA from 1 species